rnacentral:lncRNA from 1 species
UCCUCACAACAGCCCUCUGGGAGGGCAAGUGGAAGAGUGAGUAGAUCAGCUGGAUAGGAGUGAGGAGUUGGAGGAAGGGUUGGGGUAUGGCCAGUGCAGUUAAGUGACUUGCCUUAGUGCACACCCCCAGAAAGUGACAGCACCAGCAUUUGAACCCUGACACAAGCAUCUCCAAAACUGCAUUCUUCCCACUGUGCCACAGUUAAGAUGAGUCCACCAGCCCUGUUUAGGCUGUGUUCUCCGGAAGCAGGUUCUGAUAUGAAGAUUCCUGUGAAAGACAUGCAUUAGGAAACGUUCCCAGGAUAAACCAGGAGGUAUAAACAGAGGGUUGGUCAAGAGGAAGGUCAAGCUGCUCCAGGUCAUCUAGAUGAUGAGUAGUAGCAGUGGGAUUUGAAUACGCAUCAUCUCUCUCCAGCGUCUGGGGGGUGAAAU